rnacentral:lncRNA from 1 species
CUGCAAAAUAGCAGGCCUGGAAGGCUCCCACCUUCGACAUAAGAGAGUGUUCAGGAAGGAUGACAACCGGCUGCCUUUUUUUUUUUUUUUUUUUUUUUUUUUUCAAAAAAGGAAGGAGGUGAAUAAAGUUUAAUUCCGAAGCCCCGUAAGGAGUGUAGCAACGUGAGGGUCGCUCCCAGUACGCAGCGGGCACUGUCGGCUGCAGGAGAGCGAUCGGCAAGACGGAAGCGGGUCGAGACCCACCAGGUACCUACCAGUCGUUGCGAGGCUCUGGAGAAAGAAGGGUUAUUUCCUGAAGAUUUGAUAAAAAUGAAAUACGGUCUAUACAACAGACAAAAGUAUCACUGCCCGGGGGGUGCAUAAUCCGAUAUACCACUUGUCAAACAAUUAGCGAUGAACCUUCCUGCGUGGAAAACUUGACCGUAUAUGGAAUUGAAAGAAAAACUUGACAUCGAGAAGGAGAUCUCUGCUCUCAAAAAAACCUUGAGCUUCGCGAGCUCAUCUGGGGAUAGGAGGUUUUCAACGCUGUCAGUAAUAGCAGUACUGGAGCCUACAAAUCAUCUACUAAGAAUGUCUUGGCUAAUGUCCAUUUCUGAAUAG